rnacentral:rRNA from 1 species
ACAUUGGCUCCGCGCAAUCUAGGCCUCUCAGCGUACGAGAAAGAAUGCCUGGCUUUGCUUCUGGCCAUCGACCACUGGCGACCCUACCUGCAACAUUCAGAGUUCGUGGUUCGCACAGAUCAAAAAAGCCUGUUGAACUUGACAGAUCAACGACUCAAUACCCUGAUCCAGCAACGGGUGUUUACAAAGCUAAUUGGCCUGCAAUACACAAUCCAGUACAAGACAUGAGUCACAAAUCGAGCGGCAGACGCACUGUCGCGACGC